UGGGGAAUAUUGGACAAUGGGGGCAACCCUGAUCCAGCCAUGCCGCGUGGGUGAAGAAGGCCUUAGGGUUGUAAAACCCUUUCAGCGGGGAAGAUGAUGACGGUACCCGCAGAAGAAGCCCCGGCUAACUCCGUGCCAGCAGCCGCGGUAAUACGGAGGGGGCUAGCGUUGUUCGGAAUUACUGGGCGUAAAGGGCGUGUAGGCGGCUUGUCUAGUCAGACGUGAAAGCCCCGGGCUUAACCUGGGAACUGCGUUUGAUACUGGCAGGCUAGAGGUUGGAAGAGGAGAGUGGAAUUCCCAGUGUAGAGGUGAAAUUCGUAGAUAUUGGGAAGAACACCAGUGGCGAAGGCAGCCAUCUGGCUCGGUAUUGACGCUGAGGCGCGAAAGCAUGGGGAGCAAACAGGAUUAGAUACCCCGGUAGUCC
rnacentral:rRNA from 1 species